rnacentral:rRNA from 1 species
AGAGUUUGAUCAUGGCUCAGAUUGAACGCUGGCGGAAUGCUUUACACAUGCAAGUCGAACGGCAGCAUAGGUGCUUGCACCUGAUGGCGAGUGGCGAACGGGUGAGUAAUACAUCGGAACGUGCCCAGUCGUGGGGGAUAACGUAGCGAAAGUUACGCUAAUACCGCAUACGAUCUACGGAUGAAAGCGGGGGACCGUAAGACCUCGCGCGAUUGGAGCGGCCGAUGGCAGAUUAGGUAGUUGGUGGGGUAAAGGCUCACCAAGCCGACGAUCUGUAGCUGGUCUGAGAGGACGACCAGCCACACUGGGACUGAGACACGGCCCAGACUCCUACGGGAGGCAGCAGUGGGGAAUUUUGGACAAUGGGCGCAAGCCUGAUCCAGCCAUUCCGCGUGCAGGAUGAAGGCCCUCGGGUUGUAAACUGCUUUUGUACAGAACGAAAAGGCUCUGGUUAAUACCUGGGGCUCAUGACGGUACUGUAAGAAUAAGCACCGGCUAACUACGUGCCAGCAGCCGCGGUAAU